GAUGAACGCUGGCGGCGUGCCUAAUACAUGCAAGUCGAGCGAACAGACGAGGAGCUUGCUCCUCUGACGUUAGCGGCGGACGGGUGAGUAACACGUGGAUAACCUACCUAUAAGACUGGGAUAACUUCGGGAAACCGGAGCUAAUACCGGAUAAUAUAUUGAACCGCAUGGUUCAAUAGUGAAAGACGGUUUUGCUGUCACUUAUAGAUGGAUCCGCGCCGCAUUAGCUAGUUGGUAUGGUAACGGCUUACCAAGGCAACGAUGCGUAGCCGACCUGAGAGGGUGAUCGGCCACACUGGAACUGAGACACGGUCCAGACUCCUACGGGAGGCAGCAGUAGGGAAUCUUCCGCAAUGGGCGAAAGCCUGACGGAGCAACGCCGCGUGAGUGAUGAAGGUCUUCGGAUCGUAAAACUCUGUUAUUAGGGAAGAACAAAUGUGUAAGUAACUAUGCACGUCUUGACGGUACCUAAUCAGAAAGCCACGGCUAACUACGUG
rnacentral:rRNA from 1 species